rfam:Basidiobolus meristosporus CBS 931.73 K493scaffold_1294, whole genome shotgun sequence.
GCGUUAAUAGUAUAGCGGUAGAUUAACUGCCUUCCAAGCAGUUGGCCUGUGUUCGACUCCCAGUUAACGCG